AAAAAACGAAUAAGAAGAAAAGGGCUAAGGGGAAAUGGUACGCAACAGACAAAUAGACAAAGGGGAUUUAGGUGAAAUCCUAAUCAAAUUAAAAGGGAUUAACGGAAGGAAAACCCACGACAUCAAGAUAAACAAAGGAAGGGUUAGGUAUUGAAGCAUAUCAAGCUUCGGCAGAAGCGAUUCAACAUAGUAGAAGGAAAAAGAAAGGAAGGUUCUAUCUAUUCUCGUUGAAGGAAUUUAUAAAGUGGGAAAGAACAAGGUAGUUGAAUGAGUCUUAUGGACUCUGCUCGAGGUGACACUUUGGGUAUUUCGACACGACUACUAGAUAGCAGUAGACGCAAGCGAGGAUUCCGUUAUUUAGAGUACACGAGUUGACAGUUUCUGGUGAGCCCCGCAUUUAUUCGCGUGGGCAAAGAUUUCUAUUUAUUUGUUAUUGUCUCUUUCUCGAAACUCUUAGAGUCGCUCCAUAGUCAUUUUUAUUAGUGCCAUGAGUAUUCUUUCGUUAUAUUGGAUUAUUCACUAGUAUUACACCUUCUUUUCCGUAUUUUUGAGAUGGGCUUAGUAUUAUCUUAUUUAUAAGGUUGGUAGGGUUGGUGAAAACUCAUUUGUUAGUUCAUGAAGAUUGUGGUUGAUUUAGGUAAAUAUUGGUUGGCCGUUAAAUUGUUUAUGAGACAGGAAAACUUUUGGA